GUUGUUAUGAGUCUGAGUUGUAAAGCGCUUGUCUUCCGAACUGGGAUCCCGGGUUCGAAUCCCGGUGAAGACU
rnacentral:tRNA from 1 species